rnacentral:tRNA from 2 species
GCCCCCGUAGCUCAGGGGAUAGAGCAACGGUUUCCUAAACCGCAGGUCGGAGGUUCGAAUCCUCUCGGGGGCACCA